CAGCAGCCGCGGGAAUACGAAGGGGGCUAGCGUUGUUCGGAAUUACUGGGCGUAAAGGGCGCGUAGGCGGCGAUAAUAGUCAGAAGUGAAAGCCCCGGGCUCAACCUGGGAAUUGCUUUUGAUACUGUAUUGCUUGAGUUCGGGAGAGGUGAGUGGAAUUCCCAGUGUAGAGGUGAAAUUCGUAGAUAUUGGGAAGAACACCGGUGGCGAAGGCGGCUCACUGGACCGAUACUGACGCUGGGGCGCGAAAGCGUGGGGAGCAAACAGGAUUAGAUACCCCAGUAGUCCCUGUCUCUUAUAC
rnacentral:rRNA from 1 species